CCCCCCUCCUCUCCAGCAGCUCGGCGGAGACAAAAGAGGAGGUCACCGGGAGAUGACGAAAGAUCAAAGGAGGAUGAUUUGCAAGGUCGAUCGACAUAUGCGACAAAGAUCCUGUUGUGCACAAGCAUACUCCAUACCUUGUUAUCCUCGUGAGGCUUGCAGAAAAAUGGGUCGAUGCGCCUGAUGGUCAGUGACCUUCGGCCAGGCAAGAGAAAAGGGAAUUUAAGGACCUAAUUCGAGCCGUAUGCUUAAACCGCGAGUCAUCCAAGAAGUGGUCCAGUUUUACACAGUGCUCCUAAUAGUACAAUUAAGGAAAAACAGUUAACUCCCUCAAUGAUUUGGCCCUUGACUCCCUCUCAAUAUGGUUUCCCGAUGCAUAAUGGACUACCAAACAAUGUUAAGGAGCCAUAGGUAAGCAAGAAUUCACAAUUAACAGUCCUUGUGGCAUUUACAUACAUGUUGGGUUCAGAUAGACAUAUGAAAUA